GCCCCCGUAGCUCAGGUGGAUAGAGCACCAGAUUCCUAAUCUGGGUGUCGUGUGUUCGAGUCACGCCGGGGGCACCA
rnacentral:tRNA from 2 species